CAGAAACAGAAGGAGAAGACACAGAAAGAGAAAGACGAGAAAGAUACAGAGAAGCACACACACAGCUACAAACUUCUGGAUUCCAGCAGUGUUCAGAUGGAAAUUCCAAGAGGAGGGAGUGUUGGAAGUGAAAUCCCAAUUCUGACCAUGGGCACCUGGAUGAGAAGGACAGUUCUUUUCCAUAGGAAGGAAAGCACAGAGCCCCAGUGUUUGGAGAGCCUCACUAGUCCAAGGAGUGCCUGUGCUGGGGAAAUGUGGAAGAAAUGCUGCUCUCUGAGGGAUUGGAGUGCCUUGGAUAGCUGAGUUAUUCAGGCCUGUAAGUAAGUGUCAUGGUUUGACCCUGGCACAAUGCCAGAGCCCCCAUGAAAGAUAUAUUUCCAAAAUGGUUACUGUGAGAUGUAACCCGGAAACAGAACAAAGCAGGCUCCCAAUUGGGGAUGGAGGGAAAAACACAACACUUUAAUAAUCUACAACACAGAAACAUAAGGGGAAAAAGAAAAAAACCACACACAACAAUCCACAAUGGAACACUCCCAAAACAAUCCUCCUCCCCCCAGUCCUCUAACAUUCAAAUGUCAGUCCAAUCCCCUCCUAACACAAGCUCCCCCCAGUUCAUCAGGAA